UCUCCUCCCCCGACCUGUACUGCUAGAUUCUGGAGAUGUAGGACCUGUGAUGAUGUCACCAUCACAUGUUGGGGGCGGAGCUUAGCUGUGGAGGAGAGGAGAGAUUGUGGCUGAAGGACCUGUGUGAUGCUGUGGAGGAGGCGGGGCUGAGCUGGAGGAGAGGUCACAUGUCAGCCCAGUAAGAGAGAUGCUUUACAUCAGCUUCAUGGACAUAGAAAACAAAAGACUGAAGGGGACUCAUUGACUUCUAUUGGAGAGCUUUCUGGGCAUGCUUUGUGACCUGUGCAGAGGAAGCGCAUGUUCUGAAGCCAGGUCCCUGCAAUUACUAGAGGAACGUUAUUCCGGUUGCACAUUGAUAUUUGGGUUAUAGAUCAACAAGCCAAAUCCUUGACCAACUCGCAAGUUCAACCUGACGCCCAAAUGUCAGAUUUUCCCCCUGAAGAAGCACCACGUGAUUCCAUGCGCACAAGACGCGGCAUCCUGGUAAGAUUCUGUAGACAUUCUUGGAGUCAUACGUGCAGGUUGGAGCAGAAGAAUCUUCAGGAAGGAAGCAUAUUUCAGAUAUUAAUAGGAAUACGAUGUCAUCUUCCAAAACAGGGAGACACUUAUUUUUUUACAUUCUUUUGGCAGAGAAGUGUGGAGGACAGGAAGUGACAUCACAUCAUAUUAUCCUGUUCCUUGUCCAGAGGUUUCUUGAAAUUCGGUUCUAAAAAUCUUGAGGAUGGGUUCCUGUGUCCUGGGAAAACAACUCAAAAGAGGAAGGAAACGAAGAUGGCAGAAUUCAUCAGAAUUCAUAGAAGAGGCCCACAGAACCUUCAAGAUUUGAAGAAUGUGUGGAAGAAUGGGCCAAAAUCCCACUAGAGCAAUGCAUGCCACUAGUUUUCCCAUAUAGUAGGCAUACUGAAGCUGUCAUUACCAACAAAGGCUUUAAUUCAAGUAAUAAAUAAAUAUCAGUAAAUAUGUUAAA